rnacentral:rRNA from 3 species
UGACCUGCGGAGGAUCAUU